UGGUUCUCCCCGAAAUAGCUUUAGGGCUAGCGUCGAGAGAGAGUCAUGUGAAGGUAGAGCACUGAAUAUGUGAUGGCCCCAUCCCGGGGUACUGAAUAUAAUCAAACUCCGAAUGUCACAGAGACAUGCUCGGCAGUCAGACAGCGGGUGAUAAGGUCCACUGUCAAGAGGGAAACAGCCCAGACCAUCAGCUAAGGUCCCAAAAUAUAUACUAAGUGGAAAAGGAUGUGGAGAUGUCCAGACAACUAGGAGGUUGGCUCAGAAGCAGCCAUCCUUUAAAGAGUGCGUAACAGCUCACUAGUCGAAUGACUCUGCGCCGAUAAUUUACCGGGGCUAAGUAUAUUACCGAAGCUAUGGAUUUGCGAUGAGCAAGUGGUAGGGGAGCGUUCUAUGAGCGAAGAAGCAGUACCGGAAGGAGCUGUGGAGCAUAUAGAAGAGAGAAUGCCGGUGUGAGUAGCGGAACGUGGGUGAGAAUCCCACGCACCGAAAACCCAAGGUUUCCAGAGGAAGGUUCGUCCGCUCUGGGUAAGUCGGGACCUAAGGCGAGGCCGAGAGGCGUAGUCGAUGGACAACAGGUAGAGAUUCCUGUACUUACGGUAUGAAUGAAGGAGUGACGGAGAAGGCUAGGUGAUCCUGCGGCUGGAAGAGCAGGUGCAAGCGAGGUAGCAGAUAUCCAGGCAAAUCCGGAUAUCGGGAAAGCGAAGGCGUGAAGCGGAUGGAAAGCCAAGGCAAGUACAGAAGUCAUUGAAGCCAGCUUCCAAGAAAAGCUUCUAGUGAUAAUCAUACAGUAACCCGUACCGAAAAUGGACACACAUGGGUGAGGAGAGAAUCCUAAGGUGAGCGAGAGAACUAUAGCUAAGGAACUCUGCAAAAUGACUCCGUAACUUAGGGAUAAGGAGUGCUCAUAGAGAUAUGAGCCGCAGUGAAACGGCCCAAGCGACUGUUUACCAAAAACACAGCUCUAUGCUAAGUCGAAAGACGACGUAUAUGGGGUGACGCCUGCCCGGUGCUGGAAGGUUAAGAGGAUGUGUCAGCGCAAGCGAAGCACUGAAUUGAAGCCCCAGUAAACGGCGGCCGUAACUAUAACGGUCCUAAGGUAGCGAAAUUCCUUGUCAGGUAAGUUCUGACCCGCACGAAAGGCGUAACGAUUUGGGCGCUGUCUCAGCUGUAGACUCGGUGAAGUCUUAGUACCUGUGAAGAUGCAGGUUACCCGCGACUAGACGGAAAGACCCCAUGGAGCUUUACUGUAGCUUGAUAUUGGACUUUGAUGCAGGAUGUACAGGAUAGGUAGGAGACUGAGAGACAUGCACGCCAGUGUGUGAGGAGUCAAUGUUGGGAUACUACUCUUCUUGUAUUGGAGUUCUAACCGGAUGCCAUGGAACUGGCAACGGGACAGUGUCAGGUGGGCAGUUUGACUGGGGCGGUCGCCUCCCAAAGAGUAACGGAGGCGCCCAAAGAUACCCUCAGCUUGGAUGGAAAUCAAGCGCAGAGUGCAAAGGCAUAAGGGUGUUUGACUGCGAGACCUACAAGUCGAGCAGGGACGAAAGUCGGGCUUAGUGAUCCGGCGGUGCUGAAUGGAAAGGCCGUCGCUCAACGGAUAAAAGCUACCCUGGGGAUAACAGGCUGAUCUCCCCCAAGAGUUCACAUCGACGGGGAGGUUUGGCACCUCGAUGUCGGCUCAUCGCAUCCUGGAGCUGAAGUCGGUUCCAAGGGUUGGGCUGUUCGCCCAUUAAAGCGGUACGCGAGCUGGGUUCAGAACGUCGUGAGACAGUUCGGUCCCUAUCUGUCGUGGGCGUAGGAAGUUUGAGAAGAUCUGUCCUCAGUACGAGAGGACCGGGAUGGACAUAUCAAUGGUGCACCAGUUGUCACGCCAGUGGCACAGCUGGGUAGCUAAAUAUGGAAGGGAUAAACGCUGAAGGCAUCUAAGUGUGAAACCCACUUCAAGAUGAGACUUCCCAUUACGCAAGUAAGUAAGACCCCUUAAAGACGAUAAGGUUGA
rnacentral:rRNA from 1 species